AAUGAGACAAAGAUGACUCUGCUGGCCUUCCAAUCACUGUCUUAAAGUCAGCCAAAUGGAACACAGCUCCUAGGAUAGAUGAUCUUCAAGGUUAGAAACACGCUAACAAAUCUGCGUGUCAUAAAUAAUAUUGCAUUUACAGAGAGACUUGAAAAAGGAAGAUGUGAGUGAUGUAUUGUGUGGAGCUUCCAUACAUCUUGGCCCAGGAGGAUCUCUGAUGCUACAAUCUCUCCGGGAUCCUGGUUCCACAGACCUGCUACACCAACUCUGGGACUUCUUUAUUUCCAAAAAGAACCACAGUGUGUGCCGAAGGAUAUGAGACCACUGAUACUCAGGUCUAUGUUAAUAUACACAGCGACAGAAGCAGCCAGGAGCUCAAAGGAUGAGAUUCAUACCUUUGAAAAGUAAAGUGAGAGUAUUUCAAUGUG